GAUGAAGAACGCAGUGAAAUGCGAUAAGUAAUGCGAAUUGCAGAAUUCAGUGAGUCAUCGAAUCUUUGAACGCACAUUGCGCCCCUUGGUAUUCCGAGGGGCAUGCCUGUUCGAGCGUCAUUAUAACCCCUCAAGCUCAGCUUGGUGUUGGGGCCUGCUGCACUGGCAGCCCUUAAAAUCAGUGGCGGCGCCAUCUGGCUCUAAGCGUAGUAAUUCUUCUCGCUAUGGAGUCCUGGUGGAUGCUUGCCAUCAACCCCCAAUUUUUCUAUGGUUGACCUCGGAUCAGGUAGGGAUACCCGCUGAACUUAAGCAUAUCAAUAAGCGGAGGA
rnacentral:misc_RNA from 1 species